GAUGAACGCUGGCGGCGUGCCUAAUACAUGCAAGUCGAGCGAAUGGAUUAAGAGCUUGCUCUUAUGAAGUUAGCGGCGGACGGGUGAGUAACACGUGGGUAACCUGCCCAUAAGACUAGGAUAACUCCGGGAAACCGGGGCUAAUACCGGAUAACAUUUUGAACCGCAUGGUUCGAAAUUGAAAGGCGGCUGCGGCUGUCACUUAUGGAUGGACCCGCGUCGAAUUAGCUAGUUGGUGAGGUAACGGCUCACCAAGGCAACGCUGCGUAGCCGACCUGAGAGGGUGAUCGGCCACACUGGGACUGAGACACGGCCCAGACUCCUACGGGAGGCAGCAGUAGGGAAUCUUCCGCAAUGGACGAAAGUCUGACGGAGCAACGCCGCGUGAGUGAUGAAGGCUUUCGGGUCGUAAAACUCUGUUGUUAGGGAAGAACAAGUGCUAGUUGAAUAAGCUGGCACCUUGACGGUACCUAACCAGAAAGCCACGGCUAACUACGUGCCAGCAGCCGCCGUAA
rnacentral:rRNA from 1 species